rnacentral:rRNA from 1 species
GACGAACGCUGGCGGCGUGCCUAAUACAUGCAAGUCGAACGAGUGGCGGACGGGUGAGUAAUGUCUGGGAAACUGUCUGAUGGAGGGGGAUAAAUACUGGAAACGGUAGCUAAUACCGCAUACCACAAGAUGUGCCCAGAUGGGAUUAGCGAGUAGGUGGGGUAACGGCUCACCUAGGCGACGAUCCCUCGCUGGUCGGAGAGGAUGACCAGACACACUGGAACUGAGACACGGUCCAGACUCCUACGGGCGGCAGCAGUGGGGAAUAUUGCACAAUGGGCGCAAGCCUGAUGCAGCCAUGCCGCGUGGAUGAAGAAGGCCUUCGGGUUGUAAAGUACUUUCAGCGGGGAGGCGUUACCCGCAGAAGAAGCACCGGCUAACUCCGUGCCAGCAGCCGCGGUAAUUC